rnacentral:tRNA from 1 species
CUGUGAAUCUGAAGAUAGGACAUAACCAUCCUUAUUUACC